UGAAACCGAGUGUGCCACCAGCUAACUGGAGCUCCCCUAGCCUGCCUAGAAAAGCUGUAGUCACCGCGAUCUUCACAAACCAGGUUAAGUUCAUGGCCACCAAUGGAAGUGCUAGUCCUCUCUGUAUUUUCAGCUCUGAAAGCAUUAUCUGUAUUAGGUUGGCCGGCCAUUUCUUGGUGGGAUAUGAAACUGAAGGUGACUGAGAUGGUUUGUCAGUUGGGAUCUCUUCCACUCUUGAUGUUGCAGUUGCAGGCAUUAUGGAAGUAAAUUGGCGGGGUUGCUCCAAAAUCCGAAUAUAUAAGAUGGGAAAUCUGGUUUCUUAAAUAAGAAUGAAUUGAAGGCUUAGUGUUUGCUAGUGCACGAGUUUUUUGUGAGGAUAUCAGUUUCUGAAGGAGCAAAUAAGGUUAUUUGUUGCAAGUUCGUAACAGCCAAUUAAUGAAAAGAGAGUUGGGCUGUUGAUUUAUAGUGCGUGAUGAUAAGGCAAAGUUGCAAAGGACAAAUCACCUUCAUAUCUCGUGAGAUAUUCGUUUCAGUGGUUUUUUUCUUUCCUUAGAAUAUUUACUAUUGCUGCUUUGGAAUAGUUUUACUAUCUAACUAACCUUUCUAUUUAGCACUUGAUUCAUUGCUUAAAUAGUAACUAAGAUUGUCCUGUAAGGUAACCAACCAGACGCUUUGCAUGCUUUCUUUUGUUCAUAUAGGGCGAAUAUAGCAUUGAAACAAGGGUAGUUGAAAAAUCAUCUCCAUGUGAGAAGUUUUAAGAGGAAACUAAAUAAAGAACAUUAUCAGAUAAUAUUCAAGAGAAAAACAACAUGUUUUCAUCUGGUUUUCAUUUACCCUUUGCAUUGCAUUGCAAUUCUAAGGGGUAAAAUGAUUGGAGGAUUAAUACAAUGAAGGUGGGAGAUUUGGUGGAAAAGGCGUAAGCAAUAAUGCGGUGGUCCUUUAUCUGUUAGCUGCUUUGCGUUUUGAGGAUGAAUGGGGUUUCACUAAAAAUUCUAAGCUAUAAGGAAUCAAAAGUGGGGUAGCUAGGCCACUCCAUAUCUAAGCUUUUUGCUUUCAUUUUCUAAAGUAAAUAAUAGUUUAUUUAAUAUUCUUAUCACUUCAUAUUUCUUCAGUUUACAAGUAAAUAAUAGUUUAUUUGAUAUUCUUAUCACUUCAUAUUUCUUCAGUUUACAUUCAACUGAGUUUACUUCUCUACAUUUGUAUCGUGCAAUUAGGCAGGAGAAUAUGAGGUUGAAUAAAUCAGUUACAUGUAUUCUUACAGAUAAGUGCAGAGACAUGGCUACUUAAUCUGUGGAAAAGAGGAAUUAGAGUAUAUGUCGAAUGGAAUCACAUGUAGAAGGAAUGUAAGGAGUGCUACUUUAACGGAAGCAUUGUAGAAAAUAAUGGCUUUUUCACCGAGGUUUGAUUCCGUUCGGUUUUCUCAAUUUUUUUCUCAGCCAUAUUGUUCACUAACAGAUUAUAUGUUAUUGCCUUAAUUUAGUAGCCUGAGAGGGAAGAAAACAUUGGACCUUUCGAGAUAAACAGGAUCCCAAUUACCAUAUCUUAUCAUAGUGGAAGUAAAAGGGGCUAAGAAUACAACUUUGUAAGAUAUGCUAUCAGUGGGAUUUCAAAGAACUAUGCACCACUUCCCAAUAUUAGAAAAACGGGUACUUUUUCCUAAAAAGGAAGAGGCACCUGGUUUUCUUUCUGUUGGUUUUUCUUUGUAAGGAAGAAAAGAAAGACAAACCAAAGUUUGUGACUUAUUACAUUUUUCAGUUUCAG
rnacentral:lncRNA from 1 species